rnacentral:ncRNA from 1 species
GGUCACGACGACCGUCACCCCUGUCGCUUAACCCCUGUGAGCUCGGGGUUGACGAGAUCCUGAAAGAAUUCAGUGGCACAGUCCACAAAUUGGGUAAAGAGAAUUGUCUGGUUGAUGCCUAUGACAAACGAGACUCUAGCCUGCUAAUUAUUACGCCAGUCCUCUGUUCCUGUGCUGACGGCGUUUUGGCGAAACUGCUCUCUUCAGCUGACUACUUUCGGGCCGCGCAUUUCUCUGCGCGCGUGUGCUGCGAGCCCUUCCCGGGGUAAGUGGUGUGCGUGCGUGUGGGGGCGUGGACUGAGGUAGGAGGUUUCAACGGUGGGUUCAGCGCUAGCCACCGGGAACGGCGAAGGUGUGUAUACUUUUAACAGGGACAAGCAUUACGAAGGUGCACGAAAUUGAACAAGAAGAGGUCUGUGAUGCCCUUAGAUGUCUGGGGCUGCAUGCGCGCUACAAUGACGGUGCCAACGAGUCUGGCCUUCUGGUCCGAAAGGGUUGGCAAACUGGUCAAUCGCCGUCAUGACAGGGAUCGGGGCUUGGAAUUGUUUCCCGUGAACGAGGAAUUCAUAGUAUGUACAAGUCAAGAGCUUGCGCUGAUUACGUCCCUGCCC